rnacentral:rRNA from 1 species
AACGAACGCUGGCGGCAGGCUUAACACAUGCAAGUCGAACGCAUCGCAAGAUGAGUGGCAGACGGGUGAGUAACGCGUGGGAACAUACCCUUUUCUACGGAAUAGCUCUGGGAAACUGGAAUUAAUACCGUAUACGCCCUACGGGGGAAAGAUUUAUCGGGGAAGGAUUGGCCCGCGUUGGAUUAGCUAGUUGGUGGGGUAAAGGCCUACCAAGGCGACGAUCCAUAGCUGGUCUGAGAGGAUGAUCAGCAACAUUGGGACUGAGACAAGGCCCAAACUCCUACGGGAGGCAGCAGUGGGGAAUAUUGGACAAUGGGCGCAAGCCUGAUCCAGCCAUGCCGCGAGAGUGAUGAUGGCCUUAGGGUUGUAAAGCUCUUUCACCGAUGAAGAUAAUGACGGUAGUCGGAGAAGAAGCCCCGGCUAACUUCGUGCCAGCCGCCGCGGUAA